UACGGGAGGCAGCAGUGGGGAAUAUUGCACAAUGGGCGAAAGCCUGAUGCAGCUAUGCCGCGUGUAUGAAGAAGGCCUUAGGGUUGUAAAGUACUUUCAUCGGGGAGGAAAAACAAAACUAAUAAUUUUAUUUCUUGACGUUACCCGAAAAAGAAGCACCGGCUAACUCCGUGCCAGCAGCCGCGGUAAUACGGAGGGUGCUAGCGUUAAUCAGAAUUACUGGGCGUAAAGAGCACGUAGGUGGUUUUUUUAAGUCAGAUGUGAAAUCCCUGGGCUUAACCUGGAACUGCAUUUUGAAACUGAAAUACUAGAGUAUCGUAGAGGGAGGUAGAAUCUAGGUGUAGCGGUGAAAUGCGUAGAUAUCUGGAGGAAUACCUGUGGCGAAAGCGGCCUCCUAAACGAAUACUGACACUGAGGUGCGAAAGCGUGGGGAGCAAACAGGGAUUAGAUACC
rnacentral:rRNA from 1 species